UCAUGCCAUUGUACAGAACACUGGUGAGACCUCACUUGGAGUAUUGUACACAGUACUGGAGACCGUAUUUUCAGAAGGAUAUUGAUACCUUAGAGAGAGUUCAGAGAAGGGCUACUAAACUGGUUCAUGGAUUGCAGGAUAAAACUUACCAGGAAAGGUUAAAGGAUCUUAACAUGUAUAGCUUGGAGGAAAGAUGAGACAGGGGGG